UCAGUUCAACAGAAAUGUCGAGAGGCGAGUUCGAGAGAUUCAUAAAAAAACAAACUAGGUUAACUUCUUUGUUAGGUCGAGAUGACAGUUUACUGUUAAGGUGUUACGAUUAUGACGAGCUAAUGAAACAAGAAAGAGGUGAGUUUACUGGUGCAGGGUUUCUAAGAAGAAGAAUGGAGCAGUUGAAGUUGGAUAAGUGAAUCAAAGCUAUAUACAAUACAAACAAGGUUGAAGAUAAAGGAAGGAAGAAGAAUGGAAGCUAUAAGACUCGUAAAUCAUGGUGUCCGUCUUUAGAUUGUUGUCUUGCAGAUGGUGUCCGGCUUUAGAUUCUCGAUCAAUUCGGUAUGUUAUAAAUUAAUAUACCACUACCUUAUAUUUAUACACUUCUUCGUUAAUAACGCAUUUACGACGGUAGAAGUCAAAUUCAGUAGAACCUCGUUAUUGUAAAUUAAUUCGUGAUAAAUUAUUUCCAGCCCAAUUUUGCCUUUUCUUAUAUGAGGAACCCUCCAUUUAAAUUCUCUAUAUUAACAACCCAUAAUUAGUGAAAAACAUGAUGCAAUUACAAAAGUAACCUUUUAUCUACAUAUUUAUUUCUUUUUUAUUUUUAGAAAAUAGUUAGUAAAAUUCGUGAAAUCUUCCUAAUAUAUCUCCCAAAAAUAACUCCUUCAAAUUCUCCCUAAAAUAACUCCCUAAUUAGUUAAACUCUUUAAUAAAAAUCAAUCCUAAAAAAUCUCUCUAAAGUAAUUCUACCGGGUCGGGAUCCCUUGUCCUCCUCUUCCAUGUGCCAUGGUGCCCCUCCAAUUAAACGCUGCCAUGUGGUUUCAAUUUUCUACCCAUAUAUUUAUCAUUAAAUGUAUCUAUUUAGAUCAGGAAAGAGUAUAAAAUAUAAAAUAUUUACAGUCAAAUGUGAGAAGACAAUCAACCAGAUUAUGAAUUGGAGUUGGAGAAAUGAAGAUAUGUAUAAUACACAACCUUUAUGAACGUGAAAGCCAUGCCCAUAAUUAGUAAAGCAUUUUUUACCAGCCCAUGAGUCCUUCAUAAUAUACGGAGUCUAAUGAGCUAUAAGAAGUGUAGGGGCAAAAUAUCGCAUAAGUCUUUUGUAAGUGUGCUGUCAUCCAUUAUGUAAAUAUCUAUAUAAAGAGAAAUGCAGGGGAGAGAAAUGGAGGAUAGACACUUUACAGAGGACACAUUAGUGGAGAGAGAAACAUAAUUUGUAUUAUUAUUAUCAUCUUCUUCUUCUUUCAAGAAACUAGAGCUCCAAAUACUCAUUAAUGGAGUCUCAAUUGUAAUCCAUAUGUA